GUCCCGGCAUGCACCGCGCCCGCGCAGCCUCCCCCUCCUUCCUCUGCCCCACAAUGCCCCGCGCCGGCCCCGGCCCCGCCCCGCCCGGCCACCGCCGCUGCCCGCUCGCGCCCGGCCGCGGCCUGGGGCCGGCCCGGGGCGGGGCGGCGCUGAGGCGAGGGCCGCGGAGAGGAGCGCCCCGGCCCGGCCCCGCCUCGGGUCAGCGCCCGGGCGGGCCGCAGGGGCCCGGGGCGGGAGGCGGCGUCCGGCGCGGCGGCGGCGCUAGAGCGGCCUCAGACGCGGGAUCCGAGCGGCGGUUCGGGAUGUUUCGGGGCGACGUGAGCGGCUCGGGGUGCGGCCGUCGCCAGCCCGGAUGCCUCGCUGCAAGGAGCUGAUAUGAACGAAACACUACUGAAGGAUAACAGAGCCAUUGUCUUGCGUUUAAGUGGAAAGAGUAUUGCCCUAGUAAGUGUACUACAUUCUUUGAAGACCAAGACAGGCUUUACCAUCAUGUCUUAAUUUCUCUACUGAAACAAUUAGUAAGAUUAUUAGUUACACAUUAGAAACAGAACCACCAUACAAGAGAUUCUAAGUGGUUCUAUGUCCCCUUCCCCUUCCACUAGCUCCAAGAAAUGCUGAAAUUACCAGCAGUUCCAAUACUCCAUCUCCUGAACAUGGUGCUGGAUGUUCCAAAAGUGAGCAACACCAGCUAUACAAAUAGUGGUAUAAUCUACGAAGAACAGGAGAGGUUUCCGAGCUUAAAUUAAUAAUUGACACAGGGUGUGUAGGCCAUAUAAUAUGAAUUAAAUUAAAUUUAUAUUCUCUUAACUACAUAAGUAUUAACCAUUUUUAAAUUCUACUGCAUUGGCUUUUAUUAUACCUUAGAGCAGCAAGUUUCCCAGGCUAAUUUUGCUAUGUGCUAAUUUCAAGUAUUAUUUUACUGUAAAAGGGUAAAGACAAGUACUGCUGUUACAGGCUUAACAGGCUGCAAAAACACUCACCAUAGUAUCAGCUUGUCAUAAGUCAUGUGAUAAGACAAACGUCAGGCUACAUCCAGAGCUGGCCCUUAACCAGUAAGGUGUCUGCUUCUCUGUUCAGCCCCCUCCAGUCUCAAAUGAUGGCCAAUCCUCCAGAAUUCAAAGGAAGUCACUUGCCAGAGUGAUGGGUCCAGAGAGUAACAGUAGGGAAGAUCUGACUCACUUAAUUUGAGAAGCAAAGUGGGACUGAUGCAGCCCCUUACCUGUACAGGUUUUCCACCCUCCCCUUCAAAAUAAAUUGCAUCUCAGGCUACCCCUCCACAAACAGCAGCCAUGUUCUUUGGAGAACUUUAUUAAAAUAUAUCCAAGAAAUAAUCAAACAUUUUCUAAUGAGUCAGGAGAGAACUGAAGUGAGAAAAACAUCUGUACAGGGGACAAUGCUGUAAGUUUUUGUUUACAUGCUUUAUUUUUUAAACGUUUCACAGUUUAGUCAUUGUCUACAAAAAUAUAUUUCUGAAACUCUGAGUCCUCUAUAAAAAAGCUGGUCAGCAGCAGUGACCCUGACAAACAGAAUGUACCUUAGGACAGUGUGAGCACCUCCUGUAAGCAGAUUAGUGCAGAUAGGGCACUCCUGUGUCACCCUGGGAGACUUCUGUUCUUUGGGAUUAAAGCUCCACACUACUUCUGAAGGAUGGUAUUUUAAGAAAAAAAAAGAAAUCCUUCCAUUUCUCUAUACUGCACUAAACCUGGGAGAGGGAGCUGCAAACCAGUGUAUCACACAAGAGAGGGUGCUAUCAAAGAAGGAUUUGGCACUCAGGGGAUGGGGAAGACCACACAGUACUUUAGUAUUGGAUAAAUCUUUCUUUGAGCAAUCUGUUCAGAACAGCCUUGCUCUUUGUGAUAGUAGGUUCAGUCUACAACAUUAACCAGAGGUACUAAUGCCAUAAGAGUGGAGUAGUUUUACAAGCACAAAGAGAGCCCUUCUUUGAGGUGGGGAUAACUCAACUUAACUUUACCUCAGCAUCUUCUGCUGUGGCUUCAAUCAAGUGGGAAGGUGCUUUCAUAUCCAAUCAGAAGCCUACAUGGUACUGGAUAAAACAGAGCCACCAUCAUCAGUGCUGUCAGGCUGAAUUCCUCCAUAUCCAUAGUUAGAAAUAUUUCUUAUGACACUAUUUACUUAGUCCUACUCUUACCAGUCAUCAGUAUAUCUAGGCACCAAAUAUAAGAAUUGAGAAACUCAGUGUCCCCCAGAUGAGAUCUUCUUCACUUCUCCUCUGCUCAGAGAAGUUAUUUGACAGGUCUUCAGAGAUACUUACAGUUGGAAAAAACCAAAAAUGCUGCCUCUUAAAAUGUAUCUUGCAUUCUGCUCUAGAAGAGACAAGAUGAAUGGACUCUGAGCCCCUGUAUUUGCAAAGUUCAUAACUAGAAGCCCCUUACCAGAAAAUAAUCUGCAGGCCUGAACCUCUAAGCAGGGCAGAAAUUUUCAGCAGCAAAUAAGAAAACAGCAGUUAUUCACAGACUGCUUCCCUACUACAGCAAUAGAAAGAAAAUCAGCUCUCAGUUCCUAAAGAAAUCUUUUUCUCAUCAGCCUAUCAGAAGACGACCUUUCUGAGCCAGUAGCUUGUUAAAUUUAGAUUUCUUAGAGAACUAAGAUGAAAUGCUGCUGAUUAUUUCAGGUACAGCUCCAAAGGAAGUGCUUCUGAGCUUUAGGCUUUUGCUCAGAAAGUUCCCCUCUAACUUGUGCCUACUAUGAAGCCCCAGUCUGGCCUGCUAAACCUGAGCAGCCAAAGAGGUACACGAAUUUUAAGUAGAAUCAGCAUCAUUCAGGAAAACAUAGAGCCCAAGAGCCUGUACCAAUGCAAAUACCUUAUCAAAAAAGACACUCAGCACUACAGAACUAACAUCAUCUCAUUAGCGCUAAACAGUUAAAGUGGAAAAUCCAUAGGAAAAACACCUGAAGUUUACUUCCUGCCUAUUUUCUUUCCUUGAAUUGCCAAGGAGGGUGGGGGAGAAGGAAUGAAUCACCUCACCGUAUCAGCAGUAAGUUACACAGUAAGCCACUAUAUGGAGGCAGGAUUGGAGAAUAAUUUACAACCAGAAAAAGAAAAAAGCCUGAAAACUUACAGUCUGAAAGCUUUGUUCAGUUUCCCAAACUGUGAACAGCCUAAACAGAUGAUUUUGUCCACCCCUCACUGAAUCGUAUGCAAUUCUAUCAUUAGACACUUCCAAGACUAGAAUUGUUCAUCCAUCAAGUUGCAUUCCCACUGUGUUCCCAGCUGUUCAGCUCCCAGAGGUGCACAGAAAGGGAGGGAGAAAGGGCAGAUGGGCCCACACAUAGCACAGGUCUCCGAAACAGCACCUAUUUUAAUAUACCUGAGCAACAGAAAUCAAUCAGGAGUUGUUGUAUCUCAAGAUGGCUGUCAAUUCUGUGUGCAUGGAAAGGCCAUAACUAAAGCUUAAGAAGAUGAAAUUAAAGGAAGAUUCAGAAUUAAGAAAAAUCUUCUCCCGUGGAACCUGUCAUGCCAAAGACGACUCCUCCCUCAAAGAAGUGGUGCAUACUCAAUCAUUUGGGACAGAGAAGUGGAAGAAGCCUUGAAAGAAACAAUCCUGCCUUGCCCUCAGGUGAUAAGCUAAUUGUGUUCUCUUUCUCCCUUUGUAUCGCAGGGCUUACCCAUAUUAAAAAGCUCUGUCUUGCCCUUGUGGCACAGCCCAUUAUUGGAGAUGCAGUAUAUGCUAGCAGAGCUACACUAACUAGAGUAAUUUGGUCAACUGUUAAAAAGCUGCCUUUCUCCAUCAGCACAGAUGCAAGCGUCACCAGCACUGGUGUGUUACUUCUAGUUGAUGCAGUUAUGCCAGUGAAAUUCUGUAGCACAGACAAAGCUUAGAAUUCUAACAUUAUAGUUAUUUUGUGGAUAAACAGCAUCAUUAGACUGUGAGGUACAUGCAUGCGAGGAACCAGUGACUGCAGCUGCAAAUUAUUGCUAUUUGCUGUCCUUCUGGUGCAAGUUUCUCUUAUUUCUACAUUCUCUUGCUCUCUCUGAGGUACACAGACUCCAGGGUGAACUCUUCUAAAGCCUCACAAACACACCGGCCACCAGAACACAUUUGAUGACACUGUAAUCAUUUCCAAAUCAUUUACAAGACUGAAUCUGAGGCUGUCACUAUUUCUGCUUUUACCUUCAGGCCUAAUACUGCAUAGACAAAACUUCAUACGAUCAAGAACUAGGAAUGCCUGCACCAUGCCUGUUCUCACAGAAACCUUACUGAGGUUAAUGCGCAAGGUAACACAGCUGAGCCUAGGCUGCCUUCUGCCUAGGGCAUAAUACAGACAAUACUCAUAACCUCUCCAGUUCACUAAUCUUGUCUUGAUGUUCCCCAUACCUAUGCUUCACGAGGUUCAGCCAAAUGAAACUUAAGCUGCUACACGUCACAACUGAGAAACGUGCACUGAAGUCUGGUUGUCAGGAGCACCAGGGGACCUCCCUGAUCAGGCAGCUCCACCUCUCCUAUGUUCAAGUGCACAAGGACAGUUCCCUGUUACAGACAACUGAGGCAGAUAUAUGGGAAACCACAUUGGUUAAACCAAGUAUUUCCAAGAGGAGGCAAGGUCACUGCUGCCCUGCCCCAGAGAAGGAGAAAGAUUCAUCAAGAGAUUAAAACUAAAUGGGUUACAAAAUAAAGGCAAGAGCUAAAGUUUGCCAGUAAUGAAAUGCAUUCUCCUGUCCUGUAUGAACAGGAAACGGUCUCUGUAGGGUGUUAAAGAAGGUCCUAGGAGGACAUACCCUCCUAUUUUUUUCUGUUGCCAGAGAAAAGGAGAGAAAAAUGCUGCUACUGGUCAGCAGGAAUCUCUCUGUCUGCAUCCAGUUUGCUCGUCUCUCCUGGGGAAGGGGUACGCGGAGCAGAGUGAGAAACAGAAGGGAUCCCGUGAGCUACAAUCCCCUCCGCUACUGGUGGUUCCGGCAGCCCAGGAUUUGCUACUCCCACUACUCCCGGAGGAAACCUGAAACCAACAGAAACAUUGAAAUUACACGCUUGUCCAAAAGAGUUAUGCAAGGGGAAAGGAGUUGUGCCCUCACCCACCUACUGAAUACAAAUCCCUCUUUCUAGCAAAACUGCUCAGAGAUAGAACACAGGAAAUAUCUACAGGGCUGGAGGGUGUCAGUUAUUUCCUAAUACCAGACAGGCAGAGAUAAGGUCAGGUUACAUACUAAGCAUUUACAAGACAGGUACAAAAUUCAUCUGCAAUGGAAAACAGUGUGAGACACUGCAUGGAGGUUCCCUGAAGGGCUGGAAAUUCCCUCCCCACCAGCAGAAGUGCAAGCUGCCAGUUAUCCCUCACUAGGCUAUAAGACAGAAGAAAUUAAGGAGCUAAAUUAACAGCCAGAUAAAAGAGGAAAAAUAGGAGAGACUAAUAAAUGUCUAAUAAACCCUUUACUUCCA